GCUGGCGGCGUGCCUAACACAUGCAAGUUCGAACGAGAAAAGCCUGUUUUUCGGACGGGCGAGUAAAGUGGCGCACGGGUGAGUAACGCGUAGGUAACCUGCCCUAUGUUCGGGAUAACAGCGCGAAAGUGCUGCUAAUACCGGAUGUGGCCAAGGAGCGGUGGCUCUUUUGGUCAAAGUCGGCCUCUCGCAGAAGCUGACGCACGGGGAUGGGCCUGCGUCCUAUCAGCUUUGUUGGUAGGGUAACGGCCUACCAAGGCUUCGACGGGUAGCUGGUCUGAGAGGAUGAUCAGCCACACUGGCACUGAAACACGGGCCAGACUCCUACGGGAGGCAGCAGUGAGGAAUUUUGCGCAAUGGCCGCAAGGCUGACGCAGCAACGCCGCGUGGGUGAAGAAGGCCUUCGGGUCGUAAAGCCCUGUCAGGUGGGAAGAAUGAUUCGGGGAUGAAAAAGCCUCGAAUGUGACGGUACCACCAGAGGAAGCACCGGCUAACUCCGUGCCAGCAGCCGCGGUAA
rnacentral:rRNA from 1 species